UACAGAGGUCUCAAGCGUUGUUCGGAUUCAUUGGGCGUAAAGGGUGCGUAGGCGGCGCGGUAAGUCGGGUGUGAAAUCUCGGAGCUUAACUCCGAAACUGCAUUCGAUACUGCCGUGCUUGAGGACUGGAGAGGAGACUGGAAUUUACGGUGUAGCGGUGAAAUGCGUAGAUAUCGUAAGGAAGACCAGUGGCGAAGGCGGGUCUCUGGACAGUUCCUGACGUGAGGCACGAAGGCCAGGGGGAGCAAACGGGG
rnacentral:rRNA from 1 species